rnacentral:rRNA from 1 species
AGUGAACGCUGGCGGUAGGCCUAACACAUGCAAGUCGAACGGCAGCACAGUAAGAGCUUGCUCUUACGGGUGGCGAGUGGCGGACGGGUGAGGAAUACAUCGGAAUCUACUUUUUCGUGGGGGAUAACGUAGGGAAACUUACGCUAAUACCGCAUACGACCUACGGGUGAAAGCAGGGGAUCUUCGGACCUUGCGCGAUUGAAUGAGCCGAUGUCGGAUUAGCUAGUUGGCGGGGUAAAGGCCCACAAAGGCGACGAUCCGUAGCUGGUCUGAGAGGAUGAUCAGCCACACUGGAACUGAGACACGGUCCAGACUCCUACGGGAGGCAGCAGUCGGGAAUAUUGGACAAUGGGCGCAAGCCUGAUCCAGCCAUACCGCGUGGGUGAAGAAGGCCUUCGGGUUGUAAAGCCCUUUUGUUGGGAAAGAAAAGCAGCAGGUUAAUACCCCGCUGUUCUGACGGUACCCAAAGAAUAUGCACCGGCUAACUUCGUG